AAGACACUGAAGGGGAAAAGGAAAGUGAGAAAAGUUUCAAAAUUAAUUAAGAUUCCAAUCUUGAGAGCAAAGUACUAAGUCUUAACUUUGUCUAGCAGAGUGUUUAGUAAGCACAGUUAAUAAGACUAACCUAUUAGAUUUGUGCCGCUCUAAUUGAUCUUAAAAUAUGUAAAGAGUCGAAUUCUCACAUGUGAAGAUGGCUGAAGAUUUAAAAUAGGCAUUGAGCCGCUUUCGGAGAAGUCACGGUGCCGUGGCAUUCCAGCCAACCAAUAGGAAGAGCAGCUGCAGUUUAUAAACUGACCGAUCACGACAGAAGCCGCUUUCAACCGAAACAAGCCACACACACCCAGUUGUUUAUUAUCUGGAGAAUAAAUAUCUACUGUAGCCCUGACUACUAAUUUGAGUCCACUAAUUAUUUUACAUCAACAAUAAUCUCAGGGCAAUAAAGUCCUACAUAAAAAACAGCUAAAAUUUCGAUUUAUACUGCAUCUGUGAUCAUCAGUUCAAUUAAAGGAUUCUGGGAGACAGCGGCAUCAUGCAUGAAUCUCAUGGUGAGAAGGCUGUGGGACAGGGUGUGAGAUGAUGUUCAACUCCUUUUCACCAAUGAAUGCUUCUAUUGUUUGCCGAUUAAAGCGAAGAGGGAGAUUGAAACAUCGAGGUGAAUGUGGAAGUUUUUUGCAGACAACUGCAUGCAGAAGUGAAAACAGGCUAGAAAAGUAUCCCAGCUGAUGUUAUGUGUACCUAUGGCUUAAACUGCUAAUGCUGACAGAAAGACUAUCAUGAUGACCUCUUCAGUAUGGACCAACAUGAUGUCAUGGAAGAUGCUUCCUUCAUGUUCAGUCCACAACGUAGUGCAUCAAAGAGUGUUGAAAAUAGGUGCAUGGGAAGACACGAGCUCCUCAGAGAGGAACUUAAAGAAAAGACAGGGAAUGAAGAAAAGAGGAAACAAGAUACAAUAUCUGGGGAGGUUUACAAUCUCUGUCUUAUAUUUUCCAGCACUGCACCUACCUCCACCAUCUAAUCCUGCUUUGUUGCACCAGGUGUAAACCCAACCAUUUACCCCACUGUUCCCAAAAGAAUAGAAAGCCCAAGUUCUGUAAUGGUGCAUCCUUGUGGUGCAUGACGUCUUCCUCAAAGUUUUCAUUAUCAUCCUCCUAUUGCAGCACCCCUUCCUGUGCAGAAGAGCACCAUUGAGAGUGCCUUGACAAGUUGCAUCUACAUCUGGUAUGGGAGCAGAAGAGCAUCAGACCAGAAGUCCCAACAAAGGAAUAUAAAUGGCUGAGAGGAUCAUUGUGGCCUUCCUACCAUCCAUCAGGGACAUUUAUCAGGAGCACUGCAUACAUGCAGCCCUUAGUAUUAUUAAGGAUCCCACCCAUCCAUUCAGUGAACUCUUUGACUUUUAACCAUCAGGCUAGAGACUCUGAUGUAUAAAAACAGAACAGUUAGGAUGCAAAACUGUUUCUUUCCUCAGACCAUUAGGCUUCUAACCUCCAAGCUGCAUCACAAACAAAGUGUCACUGAUUAAUCCAUUUUCUAUCCUGCAAUAUUUAAUUUAUGCACUUCACUUUGUUUAUUUAUGCAUAAUUCAUCUGUAGAUUUCACUCUCACUUUCAUAAGUUAUUGUGGGUGUAACUCCUGGUAAAGAUUUUACUGCUAAUGUUGUAGGAUAUUUACUAUAAUGGCUUUCUGUAGAAGCUGUGUGUUCCUCUGCUAGUGUUUGGGUUGCCAUUAAAGAUAAGAGGUAGUGAUGUUCCUGUUAAGAAAUGUCGUGUUAUCCAAUCAGGAUGGCGGAACCGGGAGAAGGUUAUAGAGAAUGCUAAGCUGAAAGGUUUUGUGAUGGACACUGAGGUGGGUUGAGGUCUUUUUGGUGGGAGGUAGAGAGAGGAGAAGCUUGAGAAAGGAUUCAAUCUGGCAGAAAUGCGUAAUUCCAUGAAGCCUAAGAGGGCGAAUUCUACCGGAGAUCAGUGAACAGGAGUUGGCAUAGUGAGUACAUUGGACAUAAUGGCUUUUGAAAGAUUUGAUCUCCAACUGUGCACAUUUGACUGCUUAAUUAUAGAAACAUAGAAAACCUGCAGCAGAAUACAGGCCCUUUGGCCCACAAAACUGUGCUGAACAUGUCCUUACCUGAGAAAUUAACGAGGGUUAUCCAUAGCCCCCUAGUUUUCUGAGCUCUAUAUAAUUAUGAUGGGUCCUUUUGUUUUUUGUCUUUUCUUUAAUAAUGGUCUGGUUAAGUUAGCAUUCAUAAAUAUACUUUCUUUAUAAUAGUAUGCAGUGUAUGGUCUGUUAUUUCUUGCAGACAGGCAUUAGCAUGGGGGCAGUAAAUUACACAGAAUUCAUACAGAUUGGAGUUCAUGUGGGCAAGACAUCCGAAUCUCACAGGUCUGGUGGGACCCAAGUUAUAUUUACCCUUGACAUAAGGAGUCUGGGAAAGGUGCUUUUCUCUUUGCUGAGUCCGGUGGCUGUUAAUAAACUGCAUCUCUAGAGAUGCCCAGUAAAUUGGGGUUUCAUGUGUUAUAUGUGUGUUAUGUGUACUACUGUGGAUUACACCCUAGUUCGGAGAAACAUUGCCUUGUCUGAGGUAUACAUGUGUAACCGGGUGACCAUCGAAUGCUAUUCAUUAUCUUUAAAAAGUGUACUCAGGCUUUCAUCCAGGUAAAGUGAGAAUAGUUGUCUGUGUCUUUAAGUGGAAAUGGUGACGUCAUUAUGCAUGCGCGGGAUAGCUGGAGACCAUUUACUUUCUGCUGCCGAAACUGGUAAGGCGGUGGAAUCAAGUUCCCCCAGAGGUGCUAGGCAUGGUGAGGAAAGAUGCUAUUCAACCCACUGAGAUGCUUUAACUGAAUGCUGCUGUGGAUUAUAGCAUUGGGAGUCUUUUGUGUCUACAGAGAUACUGUAGGAAGUCAUCCACGUAAUUGGAGUGACGCUGCCUGGCCUGCUGAGUUCCUCCAGCCUUCUGUGUGUGUUGCUUGGAUUUCCAGCAUCUGCAGACCCAGGAAUAGCUGACAAGACCAAUGGUUACUGUCUAUCCUCAACUGCUGAAGAUAAAAUGGUUGUUGGCCUCAUUCUUGAAUAGCUGCAGUUCAUCUGUUGGAAAGCUGUAUCUGAUGUUUUCAGCUCUCUGCUAGUCUUUCAAACACCAUCAAAAAUAGACCCUCUGCCGCAAACUGGCUCUUUGCCCUUCUACCUUCGAUUUAUAGAAUGUCCAAUAACAUCAUCAAUCACAUGGAAGUUAUCCUGACAAGUUGGGAUAAUCUUGCCCAGUUUUUCAACAAAGAAGACUACAAAAAGCAGGAGAAGGUGUGUCAAAUGGGAAACAGCAAUGAAGAAUCUUUCUACAUCUGAGUGUGAUGGUAUUCCUGAGUCUCCACCCGGGUCAUGCAUGACUGACAUCAGUGAAAAUCAAGAGGAAGCUACUGACGUGAUGAAGGAGGCCCGAACCCCACCAAAGAUGGAGAACCGUCAUUGUUGCCCUAAAUGCUAGCAGCAUAAGUGGCAGUAGUUUUGUCUUCCAGGUGCUGAAUUAUUGAUGUAUUAGUGUAAAAACACUUCAAAGAUAUAUUUGUGGGAGAACUUUACAUUCUUUGUGUGUCUUUCAAAUGCUGCCUGACCUGCUGAGUUCCUCCAGCAUUUUGUGUGCGUGCUCUGGAUUUCCCCCAUCUGUAGAACCUCUUCUGUUAAUGAAAGGCUACAUUAUGGUUGUGUAAAGUUCCUUGUUCUCCUGCGCCUCUAUAUUUACCUAACUGAUUAAACUGAAGAUCUCUCAGCUGAUUUCUGACUGUACACUGUGAAAGGCCGGUGGUUUGUGUGAAUACAAAUGAUAUGUGGGUCAGAUGAGCAAUGCAUUUCUCAAGCAGGAAAUUGGGGAAUAUUUCAGAAAAAUCUGAAUCUUAUCAACGUACACAAGCAAAAUCAAACUAAUAUUUUUAAUACUAUCACAAUAUUGUUUUCAUUUUUUUAUUUUUUUAUUGCAAAAUCAUCUAGACAUCCAGAAUAGGAUAUAGUAUUAGCUGCAGAAUGCGUUAUGUUAAAAUGUAGAGUGACAUAUGAAUGCUGGGGUCCAUAACCUGGGAAUUUACAGCAUAGAAUGAUGUUGACAAAUGAAAGCCAAUAAAUAGAACUUGGCAAGGUCAUACAAAUUCUUCAAUCUCUAUCAAACAAAAGUUCUGUUCGUCACAAACUCCCUUAUCAUUUUCUAAUCUACAAAGACUGGUGGCUGAGCACUAUUCUGCUUUUGAAGCUCUCCUUUUUUUCUAGACCUUUAUACAGUAUUCCUAUCUCUGUAACCUGAUCCUGUGCUGCAGGUUAUGUACACAGCUUGGAUUAGAAUUCUAGCUUCUUUAUCAGUUGGAAAUUACCUUCACCUGCCAAAGACAGAAGACUAAAAAUUUCCUUCCUAAGCAAAUUGCUUCUUUGCUUCUUUCUGUCUCUCUGUCCUGUUAGAUUUCCAUAGCCCACAUUUUUAUCAAACAUCUGAGCUCCUGCCCAAACAUCUUCUGUGAUUCUAUAUAAAUGUUGUUCGAUAGUGUACCUGUACGACUUGCAAAAGAUGUUAGCCUACAUUAAAAAAUGCAUAUCUAACUCUUUUGCUGUUGGUUUCAUUUAUUUAAAUAUCAUUUCUUUUUUGAUGCAUUCCAUGGAUAUAAAAGUAUCUACAGAAUCAGAUUUAAUAUGCAUGUUGUGAAAUUUAUUUUUUUGAGGCAGCAGUACAAUGCAAUACAUAAUAAUUUAAAAAGCUAUAAAUUACAAUAAGAAAUACAUAUAAAGAUUAAAUUAAGUAAGUAGUGUAAAAGGAAAGCAAAAAUAAAGUAGUGAGGUACUGUUCAUGGGUUCAUUGUCCAUUCAGAAAUCUGAUCGCAGAAGGGAAGAAGUUGUUUGUGAAGUGUCUUCAGGUAUGUAUCUCCUGCUUGAUGGUAACAAUGAGAAGAGGGUAUGUCCUGUGUGAUGGGGUCCUUAAUGAUGGAUGCAGCCUUCCUGAGGUGCUACCUUUGGAGGUGUCCUAGAUGCUAGGGAGGCUACUGUCGACGAUGGAGCUCGUUGAGCUGGAAAACUUCCUUUAGUUUUUUCAAAUCCUGUACAGUGGUCUCUGUGUGCCAGAUGGUGAUGCAAACAGUUAGAAUGCUCUCCACCGUACACCUGUAGAAAUUUGUGAGUGCCUUUGAUGACACACCAAGUCUCCUCACACUGCCGAUGAGAUGUAGCUGCUGUUGUACCUUCUUUGUAAUUGCAUCACGUAUCGGACCCAGGAUAGAUCUUCAAAGCUGUUGACAACGAGGAACUUGAAACUGCUCACUCAUCCCAUUGCUGAUCCUUUGAUGAGGUCUGAUAUCUGUUCCCUUAACUCCUCCUUCCAGAAGUCCACAAUCAAUUCCAUAGUCUUAAUGACGUUGAGUGCAAGGUUGUUGUUGCAACACUACUCAACCAGCUAAUCUAUUUUACUACACUACACCUCCUCAUCACCAUUGAAAUACCGCCAACAAUAGUUUUCUUAUCAGCAAAUUUAUAGAUGUCCUUUGAGCUGUGCCUAGCCCACACAGUUGUGAGUUCAUGCCCUAAGCACACAUCCUUGAGGUGUGCCAGUGUUGAUUGUCAGCGAAGGGGAGGAGUUAUUUCUGAUUCACACUGACUGGGAUCUCCCAGUGCAGAAGUCAAUGAUCCAAUUGCAGUGGGAGGUACAGAGGCCUAGGUUUUGGAGCUGAGGACAUAAUUGUCUUGAACACUGAACUGUAAUUAAUAAACAGCAGCCUCCUCCCCUCCUUCACUGCAAGUAGUUUUCUUUCAUCCAAUGGAUUUUUCAACACCCAGCCAAGAAAAAUGGUCAUCCAUACUGCAGGAUGCAAUGCUAAGAGGGAUUGGCCUUUUGCUCAUGCUCCCAAAAUGUUUUGUUGCAACCACAUAAUUGUGUGCAUUGUCACAAAGGGUUACAGUAGAAGUUUGAAAUACAAAAAGCAAGUACUGGAAGCAGUCUGCAGGUCAAGUAGUAUCCAUACAGAAAGAAACAGUUAAUAUUUUUGGUUGAGCAUUUUCCACCAGACAUGAUUCAUUCAGUUGUGUGGUGGGUGCCAUAAUCCUGACAAAUGGGGAAGGCAAAGAACAGAUCUGUCAACUUGAAAGUAGGCACCAUGAGCAGUAGAGUCUGACUUCUGAGCUCUGACCUAGUAUGUCCCAUCAUGCAACCAUUACUAUUAAGCAAAUGAUCAAUUCCGGUUUAAUGAAGCAUGCACUACCACAUGACAGAUUUUCAGCUUGCAAAAUCAAGUCUUGUUUCUCUUUCUAUAAGCAC